UGCCUUUCUACCAGUAAAAUGUCCUGAGAAGUUCUAAUUAUUUUCAUUGAUGUGGAUUACUUUUGCAUUUGCAAACAAAUAACUACACUUUCAUCAUGUUGCCCACACACAUACAUCUAACGUGCUUAUUUCAUUCUGAAAACCAAUCUUCUCCAGCUUGGAGUAAAUUAUUGUCACUCGGCUUCUCACACCCUGAGCCAGUUCUGAUGUCAUCUCUUGCCUUUCCCCAAGGAGACUAAAGUGUCACUGAUGCCCCAGAAUCAGACACAGUAAAGAUCAACUGGAAGGGGGGGGGUGCAAAUGAGAAAUUCACAUCCAGCAGCAUUUGCAAUGCUAGUGACAAAAUCCAAAGAUUUAUCUAUGGUGCAGAAAUGGAAAAACAGAUCAGAAACACAGCCCUGCUGAGAAUUCUCAGAGAAUGCUUUCCAACUAGCAAUCGUCUCAAAACUAGUGCAAUUCAAAAGGUUGUUUGCUCUGUAAUCUUCAUUGCAGCAACCAAUGAGGAAGCCCUUUAUCAUUCACACACAGUUUUCUUCCUUGUACCGGAAACAUUAAAGCUUCCUUUCUUUUUCUUCAAAAGAAAAACGAAGCAUUGCCAGCCAAAAGGUUUGUGUUCAUUGUCCAUUAAUUAUACUUAGGGAGGCCCAGAUAAUCAUUUCCUUGAUUCGGGAGUUCUGCACACAAACACACCCAAAUCACAAAAUUACAGCCAAAGAAUUAUUCAUGGGGAAAGCUACAACGACCUGGACCUACAUACUUUAGAGGAUUUUCAUGUGUGGAGAUAUGUGUUGCAAGUGAAACGCGCAACAAAAGGUUGCAAUGUGAAGUGCUCCCAUUCAGGUUUCCAUCCACUGAAUUCUUCUGUAUUUUCCCAAAAGUGUUACAUUGCAUGGACAGGCGGAGUCCCCCAAACCCUGGGCGGCCCCCGUGUGGAAUAACGACUCAAGACAACGUGCUAUGGGAUUAAAAUUGGCCACAACUUUAUAAUGUUUCAGAUGUGGGUAGACCUUGGCUCAGGCAUUGGGCAUUUAUUCUCUCCCAGUCCCCCGCCGGGGAUCUGGGGAACAUCAGGGUUAUCCAGUGGGGGGGGGGGCUGGCUCUGGAGAACAUAUGUUCAAGUAGAGAGAGCCCGCCCCCGUUAUGCCGCCAUCGCAAGGGAGAGCAAUUACGACCUCUAGGAGUACAGCCAGAGCCUCCCCUCAAACAACCCCUUUAACGGGGAACCCUGGUAUCGCUGCCGCAAAGAGGAAGGGAUGUGGGUCACCGCUGCACGCCCCCCCCAUUCAGGGAAGAUAGACUAAAGGAUUCCGCCCAAGGCCGCCAAAGUUGUGACAUUUUGCUAUGGGAAAGGCAAGCCUGACAAUGCAGGAGAAUUCCUUUCCGGCCCUUCAACAGCGACCUUGACGUAGCAGUGCCAGCGUACUGUGGAGAAAAGGUUAACCUGCAAAAGAAGUCUUAACUGAGGGUGGGUAGGGUGGGAGAAGCUCUGGAGCCAACUGAUGAUUCCCAGGUAAGAUCCUCGCCAUAUUGUGUGGGCAGUCCCUCCCCCUACCUGGCUUGAUCACCUUGGCAACGCCUCCCCAGGCGGGAUUGGGCAACUGACUGAGGUAGACGGAGACCUCCAGGUAUCCCACCUGGGGGGAGGCAAAGCGAAGCCUGUGCUAAUGGUGCCGCAGAGGGUCCAGGGGGCUGCGUGCAACCACGCAAAGGGCACCCCCCCAUUUAAUGUGGGGAGUGGUCAUUCCGUAGACACUGAGCAAGCUCAGUGGUCAUUGGGCUGUUUGGGGGUUCCUCUCUCCCUUAGAGUCCCCCCCAAAAGCUUCUUUUGCACUUCUGCUAAUAUCAGAGCUCCCCAAACCUGCUGAUACCUCCUCCUUGUGCUAGGAUUAUGUUUGGCUGCAGAAGCAAGGACUCCAGCCUGAACAUUGGAAAUAGAAGGAAUGACAAGAUGGACCUACCAAAAAUGUUAUGGUGUGAAGGCCUUCUGCUCAAGGCUCAGCAGAACCCUUUCCCAGGAUACUCUAUUACAUUUCCUUCUCCUUGUUCCCUUCCUUAAAUGAAAGACAGCAUUUCAUGGCCGAUGAGCAUGGUCAGUCUUCACUGGGCUGUUUUAAGAGCUCAUCCCCCACUAAGGUUUUUUCCCUAUAAUUUGAUUUUUCUUUUUUUCUUUUGCGAAGCUUGGGAAUCCCAAAGCUUGCUGAUACAUCCCUCUUACGUGUAUGUAGGGUACAAAGGGAUUGGCAUUCAGAGUAUGUGUUUACUAUUUGUAUUUAUGAUUAAUGAAGGAUGUUCUUCUCAUUAUAGGGGAUUGGAAUGCUAAAGUAGGGAGUCAAGUGAUAAAAGGAACAACUGGCAAGUUUGGCCUUGGAGUUCAAAACGAAGCAGGGCAAAGGCUAAUAGAGUUCUGCCAAGAGAACAAGCUGGUCAUCACAAACAUUCUUUUCCAACAACACAAGAGACGACUCUACACAUGGACAUCACCAGAUGGGCAGCAUCGAAAUCAGAUUGAUUAUAUUCUCUGCAGCCAAAGAUGGAGAAGCUCUAUACAGUCAGCAAAAACAAGACCUGGAGCUGACUGUGGCUCAGAUCAUCAGCUUCUUAUAGCAAAAUUCAAGCUUAAACUGAAGAAAGUAGGAAAACCACUGGGCCGGUAAGAUACAAUCUAAGUCAAAUCCCUUAUGAAUACACAGUGGAAGUGAGGAACAGGUUUAAGGAUUUAGAUUUGGUGGACAGAGUGCCUGAAGAACUAUGGAUGGAGGCUCGUAACAUUAUACAGGAGGCAGCAACUAAAACCAUCCCAACGAAAAGGAAAUACAAGAAAGCAAAGUGGCUGUCCAACGAGGCCUUACAAAUAGCAGGGGAGAGAAGGCAAGCAAAAUGCGAGGGAGAUAGUGGAAGAUACAGGAAAUUGAAUGCAGAUUUCCAAAGAAUAGCAAGGAGAGACAAGAAGGCCUUCUUAAACGAGCAAUGC